rnacentral:lncRNA from 1 species
CCCUACUUAAUCUAUGCUUGUCCUCAAGCAUGUUUUAUUUGCAAUAAAGUUCAGUAUCUCAAACAGCAAGCAAAGGUAAAGGUUAAGAAUACUCCUAAUGUGUUUCUAAUGUUUUCAGCAUGGAAAAUAAUUAUCAGCAUUUAGCACGACGUGCCCAUGCCACUAUUAGUAUCUGAUUUUGGGAAAAUUGAAUACCUCCAUUACGUACCUUAAAUGUUAUUCAUUUGGCUCAUUAAGAAUUAAUUUUUCCAUCUUGUGCACUUGGAGGUUCUCGCAGAAAGGUUUUGACCUUUGCCCACUGUCCUUGAAGCCCUUCCCGGA